GAUGAACGCUGACAGAAUGCUUAACACAUGCAAGUCAACUUGAACUUCGGUUUGGGUGGCGGACCGGUGAGUUACGCGUAAAGAACUUGCCUCACAGAUCGGGAUAACAUUUGGAAACGAAUGCUAAUACCUGAUAUUAUGAUUAUAUGGCAUCGUAUAAUUAUGAAAGUUAUCUGCGCUGUGAGAGAGCUUUGCGUCCCGUUAGCUAGUUGGAAAGGUAACGGCUAACCCAGGCGAUGAUGGGUAGCCGGCCUGAGAGGGUGAUCGACCACACGGGGACUGAGACAGAGACCGUACACCUUCGGGAGGCAGGAGGGGGUAAUAUAUAUCAAAGGACCAAGAGUCUGAUGCAGCAAUUCUGUGUGGACAAUGAAGAUUUUCGGAAUGUAAAGAGGUUUCAGUUGGGAAGAAAAAAAUGACGGUACCAACAGAAGAAGUGACGGCUAAAUACGUG
rnacentral:rRNA from 1 species